CACACCUUUGGGAAGCCCUGGACCUGCUGGGGUUGGACCCCAACACAUUCUGACUAGGAGCUGCAUUUGUCCCAAAGCCACUCCAACGGGCGUUUCUGCUGAAAAUGAGACAAAAGCCAGGUUUGACCAGAACAGAGGUUCUGAGCAGCAGAAAGCAAAAAUCAAGUCGGAGAAGACCUUCGGUUCUGGGGACUGAGGAACAGAAGGGCCAGCAGGGAGUGGUCCCAUGGAUGACUCACAUAGAGGCAUGCCCAAACACAGCCUAAGUGCCACAGCUCCCGGGAGGCAGGUACGGGGGGCAGGUGGGGGGACCUGUCAGCCCCCACCCCUCCACCCCUCCUGAAUCCAUCUUCUCCCCCCACGCCCAUGGUUACAGAAGAUGCUAGGAAGAGGAACAUUCUGUAUUCCUGUGUCAUGCUUUGUCCUUCAGCAAUAGAGUUGGAAUAAAUUACAAGAGAAGCAUUA